rnacentral:rRNA from 1 species
UUAUUUUUAUUGAGUAAUUCUAUACUGUUAUAGAAUUUAUAAUGUUAAAACUAGUAGCAAGAAGAAGACCUUCUCUUAAAUGCAAGUAUAAACCAGCAAGGACUUACCACUGGCAAUUAACAUACAUAAGACUACAUUAGUAACCUCUCAAGAAAACUCUAAUAAAUUUUGUGUUAACCUAACACGAGAGCAUUAAAAGAAAGAUUAAAAAAAAAAGAAGGAACUCGGCAAACAAUAACCCCGCCUGUUUACCAAAAACAUCGCCUCUUGAAUAAUUAUAAGAGGUCCAGCCUGCCCAGUGAUUUAUUUAACGGCCGCGGUAUCUUAACCGCGCGAAGGUAGCAUAAUCAAUUGUUCUUUAAAUGGGGACUUGUAUGAAUGGCACCACGAAGGUUGUACUGUCUCCUUUUUUUAAUCAGCGAAACUAAUUUCCCCGUGAAGAAGCGGGAAUAAAAAUAUAAGACGAGAAGACCCUAUGGAGCUUCAAACUAAAUAACAAAUAUUACCACUUUUAAGUUUUUCCAGAAUUAUAAUCCUCAUUCAUAUAUUAUGAUUAACAGUUUUAGGUUGGGGCGACCGCGGAGUAAAAUCCAACCUCCGCACUGAAAGAGUCCACUUCUGAACCAAGAGCUACAACUCCAAGCACCAAUAAAUUGACAUCAUUUGACCCAAUACUUUGAUCAACGAACCAAGUUACCCUAGGGAUAACAGCGCAAUCCACUUCAAGAGGCCCUAUCAAAAAGUGGGCUUACGACCUCGAUGUUGGAUCAGGAUAUCCCAGUGGUGCAGCCGCUACUA